ACCAGCAGGUCUAUGGGCUAACUAGAUCAGAUCUACAGCAGGUCUAUGGGCUAACUAGAUCAGAUUUACAUUAGUUAUCACUGGUACCAGCAGGUCUAUGGUCUAAAUAGAUCAGAUCUACAGCAGGUCUAACUAGAUCAGAUCUACAGCAGGUCUAUGGGCUAACUAGAUCAGAUUUACAUUAGUUAUCACUGGUACCAGCAGGUCUAUGGUCUAAAUAGAUCAGAUCUACAGCAGGUCUAACUAGAUCAGAUCUACAGCAGGUCUAUGGGCUAACUAGAUCAG